rnacentral:rRNA from 1 species
GACAGAGGGUGCAAACGUUGCUCGGAAUCACUGGGCGUAAAGGGCGUGUAGGCGGGAAGGUAAGUCGGGCGUGAAAUCCCCGGGCUCAACCCGGGAACUGCGUCCGAUACUGGCAGGCUUGAAUCCGGGAGAGGGAUGCGGAAUUCCAGGUGUAGCGGUGAAAUGCGUAGAUAUCUGGAGGAACACCGGUGGCGAAGGCGGCAUCCUGGACCGGCAUUGACGCUGAGGCGCGAAAGCCAGGGGAGCAAACGGG